GGUUCACAGUCCAUGAGCAGGAGAUAUUUACAGCACUUUGAGAAAUAUUGAGUAACUUGCCCCCUUAAUGCAUUUACCUGUCUUAACUUUCUUUCUUUUUCCCGCUUUCCACUAUUUCUUUCAUCCAAAGUCUGUCCUUUCAGUCUCUUCAUAAGACCCCUUUAGUAAACAGAAUGUCAGCAAUAAGAGGGGGAGUCAUAGUAGUGGGGAAACAGAGGGGGUUUUAGGAGAGGUUUCUUUAGGAGUGGAUGUGGCAAUAGAACUAAGAGAAACUGGAAUUUGGGGCUUAUGAGCCAGAUCAGAUUUCAAUAUAUCAUUGCCAAUUUGCCUCAUGGAGAGUUUGUUGUUAGCCACAAACACAAUGACUCCUGUGAUCAGAGUAACAAUUAUAAACAUUAUGGCAAGAAAAAAUAAAACAUGAGGGUACGAUGUGUUCCACCCUUUCCCCCAGCUGGGACUUUGUCAAGCAGUAUUGGAGGUCGGUUGGGCUUCGCCACCGGGGGACCCGUCACAGUCUUCCUCCAAUCAGACUGUCAGCUUGCAAGGAGCCCUGGGGAAUCAUCCCCAUCGAGGGGAGUGUAUAAGAGCCCCCGGUUUAUACUGGAAACCCCCACUGUGGGUCUCGGUCUCCUGUGAGGCAGUAUGACGUCCGUGAUAUAGGAAGGCGAGAACAAAAGACACAGAGACAAGAGACUUGAGAGAAGCUGGCUCUUGGGCUGAUCCAAGCUGCUUUGGGAAGCAAAGACAAAAGACAUCAAGGCUGCCUGGCAAGGGCAAGGUCCUGUGUUUGAUCCCCGCUAUUGGAAAUACAAAAAGACACCAAGGACAUCCAAUGUUUAUGAUCGUGGGGGAGGAGGGAGCUGGCCAGGCCUUGGGACACCUGCUGGUAACACUAUCGCAGGAUAUGGCUGCCUAUCUCCUCGAUGACCAAAUUUCAACACAUUCUUCAACUAAUGGACACCCAACCUCGGGCACUGGGGCUCCCAGGAUUUCAGCCUGGGGACCUGAUAGGGGUGACAUCUCUCCUCUCUCUAGAGCCCAUCUGGGAGGGGCCGAACUUGGUGAUUCUUUGAACUUAGCAGGCAAGGCGUUGGGACUGGAGUCCUGGGUACACCAAGCCCAGCUUUACCCAUGGAAGUCUGACAUUCCUGAAAGCACGACCCAUCACCCGGGCACUUUUGUGAACCCAGGGAUGACCUAAAACUUCUAUUUAAGAAGACUACUUUCUGGGGCCGGGGAUUUAGCUC
ensembl:lncRNA